AAUAGAUACCCGGGUAGUCCACGCCGUAAACGAUGGAUGCUAGCUGUUAUGAGUAUCGACCCUUGUAGUAGCGAAGCUAACGCGUUAAGCAUCCCGCCUGUGGAGUACGAGCGCAAGCUUAAAACAUAAAGGAAUUGACGGGGACCCGCACAAGCGGUGGAGCGUGUUGUUUAAUUCGAUGAUAAGCGAAGAACCUUACCAAGGCUUGACAUCCCUGGAAUUUCUCCGAAAGGAGAGAGUGCCUUCGGGGAAUCAGGUGACAGGUGAUGCAUGGCCGUCGUCAGCUCGUGUCGUGAGAUGUUUGGUUAAGUCCAUCAACGAGCGCAACCCUUGUAAAUAGUUGAAUUUUUCUAUUUAGACUGCCUCGGUUAACGGGGAGGAAGGAGGGGAUGAUGGUCAGGUCAGUAUUUCCCUUACGCCUUGGGCUACAAACACGCUACAAUGGCCGGUACAAAGGGCAGCCAACCCGCGAGGGGGAGCAAAUCCCAUCAAAACCGGUCUCAGUUCGGAUAGCAGGCUGAAAUUCGCCUGCUUGAAGCCGGAAUCGC
rnacentral:rRNA from 1 species